UCUAAUGUUCUCAUCUUCUUAGACGUCACAAUCUGACGCUUACGUCACUAACUCAGGUGUUUUCGUAAUUCGAAACCGGAAUGCGUUCUUCGAACGGUGUCGUUUUUCAGUCUAACAGUUUGAAACCGUGUGGCGAUGAAGUCGCCACGGCUACUUUUUAGUCUGUGUCUUUGACGAAAUAGACUUUUUUAACGGGGGAAUUACGGACAAUAUUAUAUCAUAUCAUGUCGUGCAGUAAAUCUUUGAAGGCUACAGAUCUCCAUUCGUCCUAGAGAGUCGAGUUUGACUGGAAGGAUUUUCCGGAAGAACUUGUUCAGGGAUGUUGUGCUGUUGCAUCUGUUUUGUGCGUGCCAACGGUGGCUGUUUUAUAUAGCCUUAUCACGGUCGCGGCUUUUGCUGUAAGCCAGGCACAAGUCUCUCCACCUGACACCAAAUGGAGGGAAAAUGUUCUUCUGUGGACAGCCAUCUGUCUGCCAACAGCGAAGCAGAAGAAGACAUGAAUAAGUCCAUUGAGGCAAACGAUGUGAUCGGGGGAGAGAAAAGGAAGCUGUGCGCCGCUUCAACGCUGCUGUCUCCACUAUGUGAUGCAGACGAUGACUACGACUUUGCUCUGACAACCAAUAAAAGGAGAUCAAUUUAAACAGUCUUUCUAUGUAAAAGGGGUGUGACCGUGCAGGCAGAAAAUGGCAUACUUCUGUACUAAAUGGUGGAAGUACUUCAAUUAAUUGUUAAAUUACAAGGAAUAAAAUAACAACUACUACUUCUUAUGAUACAAAGUAGUGAAAGAUGACUGCAAUACAUGUAGUUUAUAAGUAGAUAGGGGAGAUGUUUUCAGGUACUUGUAUUUAGAAGUGACGUAAAAAAAGGGAAAUAUAAUAUUAAGAGUGAACUU